rnacentral:rRNA from 1 species
CCUAACACAUGCAAGUCGAACGGGAAGCGGUGCAUAUUGCUUCGGUGAUAAUGUGCCGUGGAGAGUGGCGAACGGGUGCGUAACACGUAGGUAACCUGCCCUGAAAGGGGGGAUAACCACGGGAAACUGUGGCUAAUACCGUAUAAUCUCGCCGUGGCGGUGGUUACGGUGAGGAAAGCUGAGGCGAUUUGGGAGGGGCCUGCGGUCGAUUAGCUGGUUGGUGGGGUAAAGGCCCACCAAGGCGAUGAUCGAUAGCUGUUCUGAGAGGAAGACCAGCCACACGGGAACUGAGACACGGUUCCGACUCCUACGGGGGGCAGCAGUGAGGAAUAUUGCGCAAUGGGGGGAACCCUGACGCAGCAACGCCGCGUGGAGGACGAAGGUUUUCGGAUUGUAAACUCCUUAACUGGGGGAAGAGAGAGGACGGUACCCCAGGACGAAGACACGGCUAACUAGGUGCCAGCAGCCGCGGUAAUACCUAGGUGUCGAGCGUUAUCCGGAAUUACUGGGCGUAAAGGGUGCGCAGGCGGUGUUACAAGUCCGGCGUGAAAGCUUCUGGCUUAACUGGGAGAGGACGUC